rnacentral:rRNA from 1 species
ACUCCUACGGGAGCAGCAGUGGGGAAUAUUGCACAAUGGGCGCAAGCCUGAUGCAGCCAUGCCGCGUGUAUGAAGAAGGCCUUCGGGUUGUAAAGUACUUUCAGCAGUGAGGAAGGCGGGUACGUUAAUAGCGUGCUUGUUUGACGUUAGCUGCAGAAGAAGCACCGGCUAACUCCGUGCCAGCAGCCGCGGUAAUACGGAGGGUGCGAGCGUUAAUCGGAAUUACUGGGCGUAAAGCGCAUGCAGGUGGUUUGUUAAGUCAGAUGUGAAAGCCCGGGGCUCAACCUCGGAAUUGCAUUUGAAACUGGCAGACUAGAGUACUGUAGAGGGGGGUAGAAUUUCAGGUGUAGCGGUGAAAUGCGUAGAGAUCUGAAGGAAUACCCGGUGGCGAAGGCGGCCCCCUGGACAGAUACUGACACUCAGGAUGCGAAAGCGUGGGGAGCAAACAGGAUUAGAUACCCUGGUAGGAUAGC